CCUCCACUCUCACUCCCCGACUCCCUCUACUAGCGACAAUGACCACUGAUCGAGCUCACAACCACCACCUUUCACCUCCGCCAUAACUAGCCGUCGUCCCAACUUUCCAGUGACCUCUCAAAACCCCAUCAUCGUCUCACAACCCUUGAGAUGAAGAGGAGCAGAAGCCUAGAACCUGAGCAUCAACUGAUCCUAGAAAACCGAGCUAGCAGCACCGACAAAACUUCAAGUCAUGGGCUCUUCUAUUUGUUACUUCUGGCGAUGAUUCGGCCUCCCAAACACCAAAUUGAAGUCAUCGCCUUCUCUUUAGCAGAAAUCCUACCAAGCGCCUUCAAUUUUUGGCAUCACUACCGCACCUCCACUGCUCACGGCGGAUAGGGUUCACAUGACCUUUCCUGCAAGGUAAUCUCGUAUUUCCUCUUCAUUUUGGAGCUUCUGAUUGUGUUGAAUUGAAUAUUAGUUCAACUCUUUGAUUUCUAGAUGAUUGUGAGGAGUUGGAUUCUUGAUUUUGGAGAAGCAUAACGAUUUGGGGCUUAGAAUUUACAUUUAGAGGAGAAGAGGAGGCUACCAAUUUAAGUUCAGCUGGAAUUACGGUAAGAAUCACGCAAUGUUAUAUGAAUUGAACUUGUCAAAGUUAUGCUUCUUCUGUGAUCAAUGCUCAUCAUUGUCAAUUCAAAUGUUUGUUAGGUUAGAUAUAAACCGGAGAGUAAUCAUUGAUGUUGUAUUGAUCAUAGCUUAGCAUUUUCUAAUGUUGAGGCCGCUAAGCUCUUUGUGGAUGCUGGCAUCAUUUGUAUUGCUAGGUUAAUAUUUCCUUACCAAAAAAAAGGACCGAGAGGCUUGUCGUACACUAUUUCCAAAAGGAGAAUUUAUUGAGGCAAGUAGCAGUUUUAAGAGGAAUAGGUUUGGUUUGUUAUUACCGACAUAGUGAAAGAAAAGACUAAGAGCCUGUAACCAGUUAUGAGCUGACAAAACUAACAUUCUCAGGUGUUCAUGGAUGGGCCACUAAACACAUGUGAGAAUAAGGAUCUGAAGGGCCUCUGCAAGCUUGCCUGAGCUGGAAAUCAAAGUUGCUAGUGUGAUGCAUUGAGAAACAUAUGGAUUACUCAGUGCAAAGGGAAUCUUUAGAGGUAGCAUUCCUAACCUUUGCUCUUAUAUAUAUGGUUGUGGAGUUUCUCAAGGACUAUUGUAAUGGAAUGAGCAUGGAAGAAGUUGCUAACUUGAUGGCGGAUAAAAAAUUUGUAUUUUCCAUUGUAUUUUCAUUUUUAAUGUAAUGGAACUACAUUAUGAAAUAAAUUUGAUAAUUUCAAU